rnacentral:rRNA from 1 species
CCUACGGGUGGCAGCAGUGAGGAAUAUUGGUCAAUGGGCUUACGCCUGAACCAGCCAAGUCGCGUGAGGGAAGACUGCCCUAUGGGUUGUAAACCUCUUUUGUCAGGGAGCAAUUGGCGCUACGUGUAGCGUUAUCGAGAGUAUCUGAAGAAAAAGCAUCGGCUAACUCCGUGCCAGCAGCCGCGGAAAUACGUAGGGGGCAAGCUUUAUCCGGAUUUACUGGGUGUAAAGGGAGCGGAGACGGCAGGGCAAGUCUGGAGUGAAAGCCCGGGGCCCAACCCCGGAACUGCUCUGGAAACUGUGCGGCUAGAGUACUGGAGGGGCAGGCGGAAUUCGUGGUGUAGCGGUGAAAUGCGUAGAUAUUAGGAGGAACACCAGUGGCGAAGGCGGCCUGCUGGACAGUAACUGACGUUGAGGCUCGAAAGCGUGGGGAGCAAACAGGAUUAGAUACCCGAGUAGUC